rnacentral:rRNA from 1 species
AAUAUUGGACAAUGGGGGCAACCCUGCUCCAGCUCUGCCGCGUGUGUGAAGAAGGUCUUUGGAUUGUAAAGAACUUUAUGUUGGGAGGAAGGGCUUUAGGUUAAUACCCUGAAGUUUUGACGUUACCAACAGAAUACGCACCGGCUAACUCCGUGCCAGAAGCCGCGGUAAUACAGAGGGUGCAAGCGUGAAUCGGAAUUACUGGGCGUAACACGCGCGUAGGUGGUUCAGUAAGAUGGGUGUGAAAUCCCCGGGCUUAACCUGGGAACUGCUUUCAUAACUGCUGAGCUAGAGUACGGUAGAGGAUAGUGGAAUUUCCUGUGUAGCGGUGAAAUGCGUAGAUAUGGGAAGGAACACCAGUGGCGAAGGCGACUACCUGGACUGAUACUGACACUGAGGUGCGAAAGCGUGGGGAGCAAAC